CUUUCUAUUAUGUCUUUUUCAUUUUUCUUAUUCCCUCGUUCUUUCUAUUCUUUGUUUUUAUAUUUUCUCGUACUCGCGUCCUUCUUUUCUUUCAUUUUCUUUCUUCUCGUUCUCUCAUGCUUUCUAUUAUUUCUUUUUGUUUUUUCUCGUUCCCUCGUUAUCUCUAUUCUUUCAUUUUUGACUUUCUCGUUCACUCAUUCUUUCUAUUCCUCCUUUUGUUUGUUUCUCAUUCCCUCGUUCUUUCUAAUCCUCCUUUUUAAGUUUUCUCGUUCCCUCGUUCUUUCUAUUCCUCCUUAUUAUGCUUUCUCGUUCUCUCAUUCUUUCUAUUGUUUCAUUUUCUAUUUUCUCAUUCCCUCAUUCUUUUUAUUCUUUCUUUUUCUAUUUAUUCUUUCCCUUGUUCUUUCUAGUCCUUGUUUUGUCUGUUCGUCAUACCCUCUUUCUUUUUAUUUUUUUUUAUGUUUUCUUGUUCCCUCGUUCUAUCUAUUCUUCCUUUUUAUGUUUUCUUGUUCCCUCUUUCUUUCUAUUCCUCCUUCUUUAAUUUUCUUGUUCCCUCGUUCUUUCUAUUCCUCCUUUUUCUACCUUCUCGUUCCCUCGUUCUUUCUAUUCUUUCAUUUUCCAUUUUCUUGUUCCCUCGUUCUUUCUAUUAUUUUUUUUAAUGUUUUCUCGUUCCAUCGUUCUUUCUUUUCUUUCUUUUUUGUUUUCUUCUUGUUCUCUUGUUCAUUCUCCAAGCCAGAUGAACUUUGUGCCAAGAUGCUGGAUGGUAAUGGAAGAAUAAUGUCUUCAGGGCACUGAAACUUGCCAGAUUUUGCUACAAAUCUAAAGCUAAAUCUCUGACUUUCCAGAUGAACCUGCACCUUUUCCACUGAUGUCUGAUGAACUGUCAUACUCUGUUUGAAAGACAGCAAAGCAGGUUUUCC
rnacentral:lncRNA from 12 species